CUACGGGAUGCUCCAGUGAGGAAUAUUGCACAAUGGGGGAAACCCUGAUGCAGCAACGCCGCGUGGAGGAUGACGCAUUUCGGUGUGUAAACUCCUUUUAUGAGUCAAGAAAAUGACGGUAGCUCAUGAAUAAGCACCGGCUAACUCCGUGCCAGCAGCCGCGGUAAUACGGAGGGUGCAAGCGUUACUCGGAAUCACUGGGCGUAAAGGACGCGUAGGCGGGCUUGUAAGUCAGAUGUGAAAUCCUAUGGCUCAACCAUAGAACUGCAUUUGAAACUACGAGUCUAGAGUAUGGGAGGGGGAGAUGGAAUUAGUAGUGUAGGGGUAAGAUCCGUAGAUAUUACUAGGAAUACCGAAAGCGAAGGCGAUCUCCUGGAACAUAACUGACGCUAAGGCGUGAAAGCGUGGGGAGCAAACAGGAUUAGAUACCCCUGUAGUC
rnacentral:rRNA from 1 species